rnacentral:rRNA from 1 species
UACGGAGGGUGCAAGCGUUAAUCGGAAUUACUGGGCGUAAAGGGCUCGUAGGCGGCCCUCUCAGUCGGAUGUGAAAUCCCCAGGCUCAACUUGGGAACGGCAUCCGAUACUGGAGGGCUUGAAUUCGGGAGAGGGAUGCAGAAUUCCAGGUGUAGCGGUGAAAUGCGUAGAUAUCUGGAGGAAUACCGGUGGCGAAGGCGGCAUCCUGGACCGAGAUUGACGCUGAGGAGCGAAAGCAUGGGGAGCGAACAGG